CCUACGGGGGGCAGCAGUGGGGAAUAUUGGGCAAUGGACGCAAGUCUGACCCAGCAACGCCGCGUGAAGGAAGAAGGCUUUCGGGUUGUAAACUUCUUUUAAGGGGGAAGAGCAGAAGACGGUACCCCUUGAAUAAGCCACGGCUAACUACGUGCCAGCAGCUGCGGUAAUACGUAGGUGGCAAGUGUUGUCCGGAUUUACUGGGUGGAAAGGGCGUGCAGCCGGAGAGACAAGUCAGAUGUGAAAUCCACGGGCUCAACCCGUGAACUGCAUUUGAAACUGUUUCCCUUGAGUGUCGGAGAGGUAAUCGGAAUUCCUGGUGUAGCGGUGAAAUGCGUAGAUAUAAGGAAGAACACCAGUGGCGAAGGCGGAUUACUGGACGAUAACUGACGGUGAGGCGCGAAAGCGUGGGGAGCGAACAGGAUUAGAUACCCGAGUAGUC
rnacentral:rRNA from 1 species